rnacentral:rRNA from 1 species
AAUAGAUACCCCGGUAGUCCACGCCGUAAACGAUGAAUGCUAGGUGUUAGGGGUUUCGAUACCCUUGGUGCCGAAGUUAACACAUUAAGCAUUCCGCCUGGGGAGUACGGCCGCAAGGCUGAAACUCAAAGGAAUUGACGGGGACCCGCACAAGCAGUGGAGUAUGUGGUUUAAUUCGAAGCAACGCGAAGAACCUUACCAGGUCUUGACAUCCCCCUGACCGGCGCAGAGAUGCGCCUUUCCCUCGGGACAGGGGAGACAGGUGGUGCAUGGUUGUCGUCAGCUCGUGUCGUGAGAUGUUGGGUUAAGUCCCGCAACGAGCGCAACCCUUGACUUUAGUUGCCAGCAAGUAAGGUUGGGCACUCUAGAGUGACUGCCGGUGACAAACCGGAGGAAGGUGGGGAUGACGUCAAAUCAUCAUGCCCCUUAUGACCUGGGCUACACACGUACUACAAUGGCCGGUACAACGGGAAGCGAAGGAGCGAUCCGGAGCGAAUCCUUUAAAGCCGGUCUCAGUUCGGAUUGCAGGCUGCAACUCGCCUGC